rnacentral:tRNA from 1 species
GGAAGGUUGCCCGAGAGGUAAGGGACCGGUUUGCUAAACCGAGGUUGGGUGAAAGCCCAGAUGGGAUCGUUACCCAUACCUUCCGCCA